GUGUUGUAUAAAAGGAGAAAUGGUUAGCAUUCCCCUUGACAAGGAUGGAAGAGGCCCUUGGGCCUAGCAAUACACAUACACAUAUGGUUUAGGCAUCUACUUCAUGGCAUCUAACCACUAUAUUUA
ensembl:snRNA U6atac minor spliceosomal RNA